rnacentral:lncRNA from 1 species
UUGGAUGUCGUUAGUAAGUGAGAUUUAGUGGGAUUAUGUAUUUAGUGGGUUAGUGGGAGUUGGAUGGAUUUAGGGAUUGUUUAUUUUCUUUUCUUUUUCCUAAAAUUCUUUUUCCGGUUUGACGUCAUUUUUAUUUUUCUCUGUCUUCUUUGUUUCGUCUCUAUUUUUUCCUCUUUCUGUUCAUUCAAUUUGACCACCAUUCUUGUUCCUUGUUGUGUUGGGUAUUCUCAGUUUCUUCGUACGGUUUUG